rnacentral:rRNA from 1 species
CUCAAGACGACGAUGGCGGCAGGCUCCCACAUGCAAGAGAAGCGGCCGUAGCAAUACGGCAGCGGCAGACGGGAGAGUAUUUCGCGGGAACGCGCCCUUCGGUUCGGAAUAACUCAGGGAAACUUGGGCUAAUACCGGAUACGCCCUUACGGGGAAAGAUUUAUCGCCGAAAGAUCGGCCCGCGUCUGAUUAGCUAGUUGGUGGGGUAACGGCCCACCAAGGCGACGAUCAGUAGCUGGUCUGAGAGGAUGAUCAGCCUCACUGGGACUGAGACACGGCCCAGACUCCUACGGGAGGCAGCAGUGGG